GGGGGGCGGGCGGAUGGCGGCGGGCGGCUGGUGCGGGCGCCAGGCGGUGCGGGCCCUCCGGGCGGACAGCGGCAGCCGCUGGGGGCGGCGGGCGGCGCCCGAGCCCAGGGCGGUGGGUGGCACCUCCCGCGGCCUCUGCUCCGAGGGGGAGCGCGGCGUUUCCUACGAGGAGCUCAAAGAGUUGAAAAAAUCCAGCGUCGUCCACAUAGAUGUGCGGGAGAGGUGGGAGGUUGACAGAUACGGGAAGAUCCCAGCCUCCAUCAACAUACCACUGAACGAAUUAGUGGAAGCUCUGCAAAUGAACCCAACGGAUUUCAGGGAGCAGUACAAUCAAAAGAUGCCUGCCAAGUCAGACCAUGUGGUUUUCUCCUGCUUUGCAGGAUCAAGAAGUAAACAAGCACUGAAUUUUGCCACAUCCUUGGGUUUCAGCAGGUGAUGCCAUAUGCUGCAGGACCACGCUGAUGCUGAAGGGUUCUUCAAGCUCUUUUGUCUCCCUUGCCGAGAUGUUGCUUGUACAGCUUCAUAAACGCUAGUUCUGACGUGCAGGAUGACGAUUGGAAAGAGUUCAGCAUUAUCCUGGUGGCUUUGAGGAAUGGGCAAAACGUGAACUUCCAGAGAAAAAGUGAAGAUGACCGCCUCCAUCCCUGCCCUACCUUCAGAAUGCUUUGUAGAUUUUAGCACUCAGGCUACCUGCAUUCCACUUUCAGAAUACAGUCCUCUUCUGUUUUCUUGUGUAAAUGGGCAUUUACCUUUAAAUAGUAAUGCACAUUAAUGACUUGGUUAAAAUUAUAUUUAAGGACUAUGACAUGAACAGAUGUUAAAUUUGUUUGACCUUUAAUUUGUGCUAUGAUGGUGCUAGAAGUAUGUGAAAAGAAUUUUGUAUGAUCUGCUUUAUGACUGUUUAAACUAAUGAUGAUAGCACACAUAAAGUUAUCCUUUCCAAAUAA